CGGAGGUUGCAGUGAACAGAGAUUGCACCGGUGCCUGGACAACAAAGAGACUACGGAAAAGAAGAGUGACUAAGAUCUCUGAAGAAGGGAAAAGCUAGAUGACUGGGCCACAAGAGGAAAAAAAGCAGCAAGACAGAGAUUUGUUGGUGCCAACUAAAUGAGCCCAACAGCCAGUGACAACAGAACUGCACUAAAAAAAGUCCCUCAUCAGCUCUUGAGAGCAGGUUCCUUAAAGGUGAACAAUAUUCCACAUACAAGGACUUUUUCAGCACCAUGCAUUAGAAAUGGAAGUGAAUGUUUAUUAUUUUUUGUAUAAGUUGGUUGAUACGGCUUUUCAGCUUCCCUCAGUAUCAUUAUCCAAAUUUUGUAGAUGACACUAAAGCUCAGAGGAGUUAAACCAUUUUCCUCAAAUCACAUAGUUUUAAAUAGGAAAACCAGAUAUGAAAAGCAGAUUUUUUUCUAAAUUAAAAAAAAAAAAAAAACUUGAGCUCUUGCUUUACCCUAGCACAUAGUCUCACCAUCUGUUUUCUCCAUGCCAGGUCAUUCAUGUAACAUUCAUUCACAUAACAAAUACAAAUAAAUGAGUGGAUUCAUUCAUCAGCUAUUAAUUCAGAAUCUCUUUUGUGUCUACCACACUAGGCUCAAGACUUCCCAGUGUCUUUGUCUCCUCUCCCUCAAAUCUCUCCACCCAAUGUCUUGACAAAUACUGUAGAUCCUUCCUGCACAGCAUCACCAGAAUGUUUUUCUUUCUUUUCAUUCACCUCUGUCAUCAUCCAUGCUAUGGUGUUUAUGGAGGAUGUAUUCUGCAGCAGGAAGUGUGAUGGGCACUGACGCUGCAGAAAGACUCCUGUUGUCCACCUCGGGAGCUGACACGAUAAAUGCGGAGAAUGAGUAGCCACUGCACCUUGCCCUGGGCCAUCAGUGAGAAGAUCUGCUCUUAGUAGAGCCCUGCUUUCCCGCUGAAGGCCCUGAAAUCCCCUGUGUUCCAGGCCACCCACUAAGGAUCAAUAAAGCUCCCCUGAUGUGGGGGAAUUAGCUCAAGUGGUAGAGCGCUUGCUUAGCAUGCAAGAGGUAGUGGGAUCGAUGCCCACAUUCUCCAAACUUUAUUAUUUAGACCCUGGGUCUCCAAACACUCAGGUCUCCAAACCCAAGUCAGAGAACAGGAUGCUGCUUUGGUUCAAGAUGUAGGAGCAGCAACAAUACAGGGCUGGUGACGGCUCCCUCCUGGCAUUCAGUAUAGUGUAGAUCUACCGUGUAAUUAAUUUUCUGCUUCUUUGAGGAGCUGUGAAACCAAGGGACAUAAACAAUUGCUCUUUUCUCCCUGUUUCUGCCUGUAGCUUGAAUGUGAGGCAACUGUGAAAAGUGCAGGGCAGAGCCACCUGGGUAAAUACAGCCCUGGCUUUCUGGUGAGAGGACUGAAACCAGGAUGUGUCAAGUAACUAGAAUGUGCCUGGACAGAUACUGUAGAAAGCAAACCCAUAAAGUUGUUCAUGAGCUUGUGGACGCACCUGCCAGCUGUGAAUAAGUGGGUCUAAUCCCAAACAACUUACCUAAAAAGAGCCUGAGGACUGAACUAAACAAUGGUCCACUUUCCAGUCCUCACUGACCACUGGUUGCACACACUCCAGAGAUCUCUCAUCCGCAGUGUCAAGGCUUUCAAAUAGAGUUAUCUGUGAAACAACAACACAUGGAAGUCUGGUUGGUACUUGGAGCUUAAAUACAAGGCAAUUGUGUGCCUGCAAAAACAAAAAGAGCAAUAUUAUCCUUAAGAUUUCAACAAGACACAGUGUCUCAUCACAUAAUCCAAAGAAGUCCAGGUUACAAGCCCCAAAAUAUUCAGCAUUAUGAAAAACCAGGGAGAUCUUAAUUCACAUGGCAAAGAGAAUCCUUGCAUAACAAUAUUGAGAGGACACAUAUGUCAAAAUCAUCUGACACAUACAUUAAAGCAGUUAUUAUAACAAUGCUCCUAGAAUUACGGGAUAGCAUUCAUGAAGUGAAUGGAAAGUUGGAAAGUCUCACCAAAUAUUUGGAAUAUGUAAACACCAAUUUAAACUUAAGAAUUAAAAAAAGUAUUAACCAAAACUAUUAGGGGAAAUAAAAAGCUUAAUUGGAUGAUCUCAAUAGCAGUAUGCAGAAGACUAAGGAAAAAGUCAAUGAACUUGAAAACGGAACAAGAAUACCUACAGAAUCUGACCUAUAGAAAGAAAGGAGGAUUUUAUUGUCCCUGAACAGAGGCUCAGGGACAAAUAAAAAAUAACAAAUCUAACAUUCACAUUAUUGUAAUCUGGAAACAUUCACAUUAUUGUAAGAGGACAAAGAGGUCUUUGUGGGAUAAAACUGUGAAGAAUUAAUGGCUGAAAAUGUAUCAAAUUUCUCAAAAGAUAUAAACCAGAUUUUUAAAGUUCAGUAAAUGUCAAGCAGGAUAAACCAAAAGAAACCCAUUGCAAGACAUAUCAUAAUCAAACUGCGGAAAAUUAAGAAAACACAAAACAAUUUUGAAAGCAGCCAAAGGGAAAUGAAAGAUAAAAUACCAAAUGAAUGAUUGUAGAUUUCUCAUCGGGAACCCAGGAGCCAGAAAAAAAUGUCAUAACAUUCAGUAAAUACCAAAGGAAAAAUACAUUAUCAACCCAGAAUGGUAUGUGGAGCAAAAGUAUCUUCCAGACAUAAAGGCAAAUAAAUGCAUUCUCAUUGGAAGGUAAAUAAAUACAUUCUCAGUCCUAGCAAAACUGCUGGAAAAGAAUUAGCAAAGGUUUGAGAUAAGAAAAGUGAUACCAGAAGGAAACUUAGAACAUCAUCAAUGAAGGAACAAAAGCAGAAAUAGAAAAUGUCUGGGUAGACAUAACAGACUAUUAUUCUUCUCUUGAGUUCCUUAAGGUAUGUUUGAUGGUUGAAAGCAAAAAUUGUAACUUUAUCUGAUGCAGUUGUCAUUGUAUCUAGAUGUACUACAUACAUAAGAUAAAAGGGUAAAUGUAAUGGGACUAACUCUUGAUGAAGUUUCUAUAUUCAACUUGAAUGGUAAAAUAUUGAUUCUUAGUAUACUGUGAAAAGUUAUAUAUGUAUAUGGUAAUCCCUAGACCACUUAACAACCAGAUUGAAAUAAACCAAAACAAGAUAGACAGAGGAACAUAGAAGAAUUAAAACAAAGGGAAAAAAGGUUAAUAAAUUAUUAAAUAGUAGAUCUAUCUAAAAACUUAUCUAUAAUAACAUUAUAUGUAAAUUAUCUAAAUGCAUUAAGUAAAAACUAGAGAUCAUCAGAAUGUGUUAAAAAUAAAUAUGCUGACUAAAGAAAGCCACCUGCAAUACACUUAUAAAUAAGAAUAAAAGUUAUAGAGCAGAUUGAAAGAAAAGAGUGGGAAAAGAUACCUCAUGCAAGCAUUAAUCAAAGACAGCUGUGGUGUAUAUAUAUAAAAUCAGACAAAGUAGAUUUGAAAGCAGAGAAACUUUUCAGGAAUAAUGAGGCCUCCUAAAUAAUUAUGAUUGUCAAUUUUUCAGGAGAAUAUUGUCCCAAAUGUAUAUGAGGACACAGAGCUUCAAAACUCAUAAACAAAAUUGGAUACGCCAAGUAAAAAUAGAAAAAUCCAGUUAUAGUUGCAGUCAUUAACACUCCUCUCUGAGUAAUUGGAAGAUUUAGUGGAACACAAAUCAACAGACAUACUGGAGAAUUGAACCAUGCCAUCCAGUAAUGGACCUAUCAAUUUCAUAAUGCAAAAUAAAAAUUCAGGUAGAAAGCAAAGACAAAAAUUAAAAGAAAAGCAAGAUCAUGUUAUAAUGAGAAAAUUAAGAGUAGUCCAGUGUAUAGAAGGGUGCUAUUAUUGAAAGAGUUUGAAAUAGUGACUUAGUUAUUUUGAAACAUUUUUGAAGACGUUAUUUAGCUGGAAAUGACAGAAAGACUGAAAAUGGUGAAUGUGGAGGUGGAUCUUCCCUUGUCCAUAUUUAUCUUGUCUUCGUUUGAGGUCUGGGGUGUCUAUACUUCCUCUGAAUUACCUGAUCUUACUACAGUGUCUGGCACAGAGCAUCUCCCCAGUGAAUAUGUACUAAAUGAGUAGAAAGUAAUUGAUAGAUUCAAAAGAGUUGUGCAAGAAUAAUGUUCAUUAUUUGACUAAUCACUGAAUGUGGUGUUUCAAGGAAGACAAUGAAUCAAAGUUGACUUGAAAGGUAAGCCCAGGGCCAGACGUGGUGGCUCAUUUCUGUAAUCCCAGCACUUUGGGAGGCCGAGAUCAGUGGAUCCCUUGACACCAGG
rnacentral:lncRNA from 1 species